GUCGGGCGUCUGCGGGAAUGUGCCCAACGCUGUAUGUCAGUUGAGGUUCUAAGACCUGGAAGCCGCAGAAAUGCAGAGUGCCGCUCUGGGGAUACACAGAGCACAGAGGGACCUGGAGCCGGACCGUGGUAUCUAAUUGUGCUCAGAACUCUGCCUCAGGACCGAGUCUCCCAGCACCCAGAUGUUAGAAAAAGCAGAACCAUCCACCUACCCGGAAAGGCCCCUUGUCAUACAUGGCAGCGUAUGUGUAAGCAAACUCCCCGAUGAGCACUCGCUCAAACCAGCCUUUCAGGAUGGCCGGGACUCCAAACCACUGCAGUGGGAACUG